rnacentral:rRNA from 1 species
CCUACGGGAGGCAGCAGUGGGGAAUUUUGGACAAUGGGGGCAACCCUGAUCCAGCAAUGCCGCGUGAGUGAAGAAGGCCUUCGGGUUGUAAAGCUCUUUUGUCAGGGAAGAAACGGUGAGUUCUAAUACAACUUGCUAAUGACGGUACCUGAAGAAUAAGCACCGGCUAACUACGUGCCAGCAGCCGCGGUAAUACGUAGGGUGCAAGCGUUAAUCGGAAUUACUGGGCGUAAAGCGUGCGCAGGCGGUUAUAUAAGACAGAGGUGAAAUCCCCGGGCUCAACCUGGGAACUGCCUUUGUGACUGUAUGGCUAGAGUGUGUCAGAGGGGGGUAGAAUUCCACGUGUAGCAGUGAAAUGCGUAGAUAUGUGGAGGAAUACCGAUGGCGAAGGCAGCCCCCUGGGAUAACACUGACGCUCAUGCACGAAAGCGUGGGGAGCAAACAGGAUUAGAUACCCUGGUAGUCCACGCCCUAAACGAUGUCUACUAGUUGUCGGGACUUAAUUGUCUUGGUAACGCAGCUAACGCGUGAAGUAGACCGCCUGGGGGAGGUACGGUCGCGAGAGUAAACGUUAAAGUAAGUAGUAGACGUGUAGAGACGCGACGACGACGACGACGGAGGGAGGAGG